UUCUUUCAUUCAGCCGACAAUACUCUUCUUCCUUCUCUCUUCUAUUUCUGAAAUUGAAUAAAGACGCUGAUGAUGUUGAAAUCAAGAGCUUUUGUUGGUGGUCUGAGUUGGAUGAGAAGCAAAAAUUAAGGGUUUAACAGUUUAGAGAUCAGUGGGUAUUCAUCAAACGAAGUUUGAGAGCAAAGAAGAAAAGGGGUUUUGGGGUUCCUGAAUUCUCAAAGUUCGACAGAGAAGAGGGUGUUGCUAAUCGAAUUACAGAAGAAGAAUAAGUGGAUUUGAAUGAAAGUUUCAGAGAAAGGGAUAAAUUGAGGUUUUGUGGUCAAGUAAUAGAUGGGUUUGAUGAUUCGAGAGGCUUGGAAGGAAGAGAAGAACAUGGAGAAAUUAUACAGGGUUAGGGUUUGAUUUGAGUAGAAAUUCAUGGGGUUGUGAAGAUGAUUGUGCUGAUGGUGAAUGAAAUUAGAGCAAUUGAUGAUGAUUUAGGGUUCUUAGAAGAAGAAUCUAGGUCGAUUUCAUAUUCCAGUGUUGAAUUGAUGAUGUUUGCGAUUUUGUUCGAGCAAGUACUGGGUUGUCUUCAAUGCACACUGUUGCAUCUCUUGGGAAUAUGAAGUCUCUUCCGUAAGAUAUUAUGUUAGAGAUACUUUCUCGGUGCCACUUGAGUCUGUUUGCGAGUGCAAACUAGUAUGCAAAAAGCACUUCAUUCGUCAGCUUCACCGGCUGUAUGAUAAAUAUGGCAAUAAUGAUGAUAUCGCUGCUACAGAAGAGGUUGGUCUCCUUUUUGAGAUCUAGAGAGGAAGUUGAUAGAAGGGGUUCGAACCAUGAAGUUGAUGUUGUUGUUGUUCUGGUGAGUGCAGGUGGACUUAGAUGAUAUUGCAGGUGGCUGCUUAGAUGUAUGCUUAGGUCACAGGAGGUGGAUAUGCUGGUGGCAGUUGGUAUGAGCUGAAUUGAUUGUGCUCGAGUUGGUAAUGCAGUUGCAGUUGGAGCUGUUGAAUCUGUGAGUGAGAUGAAGUUGCGGUUAAUGUUGCACCUGGAUGUUGAGAUUGUUCGAGUCACUGGUGAAUUUUAGAGAUGGAGAAGAAGAUGUUCUCUGCUGGUGAUUGUAUAAUGGAAUGGGUUGCAAUUGCAGUCCAUGUUAAUGGAGGAGAUGAACUAUAGAUGUAUGCUUAGGAAUGAAUUGGUACAGUGUGAAUACAAGACUGAGAAAGUGAUGGUUUGAUGUUCAAUAUAUGUAUGUUAGGAAUUUACAGAGAGGUGUUGCUUGAAUUGUAAGGAUUUGAGUUGGAUUGCUUAGCUCAAACUGGUGACAUUACAAGCUGAGUCAAAGAUGGAAGCAGAGAGGGGUCUCAACUGAAGUUACUGUGAGAUGGUUGGUGAUACUGCCAUGGCUAGGUAGUGAUGAAUUCAAGCUUUAAUUGACGGAGAUGUUGCUGUUGAGGCUUAAUGGUAAGCAGAGUACAUGAUUGUGCUGGUCUGGAGUAAGGGAAGACAAUGGAUGCGCAGGUCUGAAUUGCAGGUGAUGGUGGGCAGUUGUGGGAUUGAAGCUAUAGAAGACUGAAGAGAUGGAGGUAAUUAUGGAGUUGGUAUGGUGAAGCUGAAAGAGCUGUAUUUGUUGCAAUUCAUGGAAGUAAUAUAUUGCAGGAAGUUUUGAGGUUAUGCAGUUGAGAUUUAAAUCAAGGAUGAAGCAGCUGAGAGUACAGGAAUUGCAGGAGCUAGAGAAAUGCAAUAAUGUGCCGAAUGUAUAUGAACUGAGCAUGAGAAUGGUUGAAAGCAUGUUGGUGGACUGCUUUGUAUUGUAGAGCAUGGUGAAGUGGAGUUGAUUUGGAGCAGCAGAAGAAGGGGCCAUUAUGGCUGGGACUAGACUCGACUCGGCGUUUCAAAUCAGUGAUUCAAGAAAAUCCAACUCUACCCAGGAGGAGGGUUUUUUUGGGCAUUUUGACCCUGCCACCAAAGCGUUAACAGCUGUUAACUGUCGUUUACCGCUUUUUUGAAUAAAGCGGUCAAGACAAGGGUACUUUAACAAAUUUAAAAAAAAAGGGGGCAUUUUUUAGUGUAAUGUUAAAAGUAGGGGUACUUUAUCAAAAAGCCCUUGCUUUUUUCUAGGAGAGAGAAACGGAAAGAACUGUAUCCUUGAUAAUUAAUUUUUUAAUGAUCCACACAUAUUUACUGA